AUUGAACGCUGGCGGCAUGCCUUACGCAUGCAAGUCGAACGGUAACAGGUCUUCGGAUGCUGACGAGUGGCGAACGGGUGAGUAAUACAUCGGAACGUGCCUAGUAGUGGGGGAUAACUACUCGAAAGAGUGGCUAAUACCGCAUGAGAUCUACGGAUGAAAGCAGGGGAUCGCAAGACCUUGUGCUACUAGAGCGGCCGAUGGCAGAUUAGGUAGUUGGUGGGAUAAAAGCUUACCAAGCCGACGAUCUGUAGCUGGUCUGAGAGGACGAUCAGCCACACUGGGACUGGCACACGGCCCAGACUCCUACGGGAGACAGCAGUGGGGAAUUUUGGACAAGUGGCGCAAGCCUGAUCCAGCAAUGCCGCGUGCAGGAUGAAGGCCUUCGGGUUGUAAACUGCUUUUGUACGGAACGAAAAGCCCUGGGUUAAUACCCUGGGGUCAUGACGGUACCGUAAGAAUAAGCACCGGCUAACUACGUGCCAGCCGCCGCCGUAA
rnacentral:rRNA from 1 species